AUUGAACGCUGGCGGCAGGCCUAACACAUGCAAGUCGAACGGCAGCACAGAAGAGCUUGCUCUUUGGGUGGCGAGUGGCGGACGGGUGAGUAAUGUCUGGGAAACUGCCCGAUGGAGGGGGAUAACUACUGGAAACGGUAGCUAAUACCGCAUAACGUCGCAAGACCAAAGUGGGGGACCUUCGGGCCUCACACCAUCGGAUGUGCCCAGAUGGGAUUAGCUAGUAGGUGGGGUAAUGGCUCACCUAGGCGGCGAUCCCUAGCUGGUCUGAGAGGAUGACCAGCCACACUGGAACUGAGACGCGGUCCAGACUCCUACGGGAGGCAGCAGUGGGGAAUAUUGCACAAUGGGCGCAAGCCUGAUGCAGCCAUGCCGCGUGUAUGAAGAAGGCCUUCGGGUUGUAAAGUACUUUCAGCGGGGAGGAAGGCGGUGAGGUUAAUAACCUUGCCGAUUGACGUUACCCGCAGAAGAAGCACCGGCUAACUCCGUGCCAGCAGCCGCAGUAA
rnacentral:rRNA from 1 species